AGAGAAGAAGAGACACAGAAAGAAGUACUUUCCCCCUGAUGUCCUUAUGGAGGGGGACUCUCCCCCCAAACAAUAACUGCCUCCCACCUGCCUUCCUCCAUGCCAGAAGUCAUCUCAAGCAAGGUAAUUCCAUCUAGUGAGACCAAGAAGGGCUGUCAGCUCACAAGCUGUGACAGAGGUCAAUGAAGAAGGGAGGAGAAGUGAGCAGCAGACUGAGAUACAAGCAAACAGACACAGACAGGGAGGUUGGAGCAGCUAAUAGUGUUAUAUCUCAUCCUUCAUGCCUUACUUACAUCUAUCCUGCUCAGUACUUCUCUAUAUCGUCCCAUAUGGUACUUAAGAGAGAAUGAGUUACAAACAGUGUGGAAUCUUCUAUCUCUAUGUGUAUUUUAUGAGUGGACGUCAUUACAGCCCACAGACAAGUGAGGAACAACUGAGAAUAGGAGAUGAAACCAACUUCAAAAACUGCCAGAUACAAGUCAUAUAACGGCCAGAUAUUGUCAUUCCUCAUGUACAAAGACAUGGCAGGCUAGUCUGAAAAGUCAUCUGAAAGUGUAGGUACACACUAAAUUCUCCAAUUCCUUAUUUACAGCAUAUCUUGGAUUUCCUCUGAUGAAGUCUGUUAGCGCCCAUGUGAAGCCAUCCGUCCUAGUUCUGGUUUACUGGUGAUGGACAUUGGUUUGGAGCAGCAACAGCCUCAUUUUCUAUUUUGUGUUAUCCGCGCCGCCUGGUGUUGUACAGGACUACUACAUGUGAGCAUAUAUCUCACCAAUCUGUC